rnacentral:rRNA from 2 species
CCUACGGGAGGCAGCAGUAGGGAAUCUUCGGCAAUGGACGGAAGUCUGACCGAGCAACGCCGCGUGAGUGAAGAAGGUUUUCGGAUCGUAAAGCUCUGUUGUAAGAGAAGAACGAGUGUGAGAGUGGAAAGUUCACACUGUGACGGUAUCUUACCAGAAAGGGACGGCUAACUACGUGCCAGCAGCCGCGGUAAUACGUAGGUCCCGAGCGUUGUCCGGAUUUAUUGGGCGUAAAGCGAGCGCAGGCGGUUAGAUAAGUCUGAAGUUAAAGGCUGUGGCUUAACCAUAGUACGCUUUGGAAACUGUUUAACUUGAGUGCAAGAGGGGAGAGUGGAAUUCCAUGUGUAGCGGUGAAAUGCGUAGAUAUAUGGAGGAACACCGGUGGCGAAAGCGGCUCUCUGGCUUGUAACUGACGCUGAGGCUCGAAAGCGUGGGGAGCAAACAGGAUUAGAUACCCUAGUAGUC